rnacentral:ncRNA from 2 species
UCAAUAAAUCCGGGGAGCUUGCAGACAGGCUGAGAGGAAGGUGACACCUUCGACCCGAAACCUGAUGUGGGUAAUGCCAACGGAGGAAGAAUCUAUGGAGGACCA